rnacentral:rRNA from 1 species
GACGAACGCUGGCGGCGUGCUUAACACAUGCAAGUCGAACGGAAAGGCCCUGCUUUUGUGGGGUGCUCGAGUGGCGAACGGGUGAGUAACACGUGAGUAUCCUGCCCUUGACUUUGGGAUAACUUCAGGAAACUGGGGCUAAUACCGGAUAGGAGCUCCUGCUGCAUGGUGGGGGUUGGAAAGUUUCGGCGGUUGGGGAUGGACUCGCGGCUUAUCAGCUUGUUGGUGGGGUAGUGGCUUACCAAGGCUUUGACGGGUAGCCGGCCUGAGAGGGUGACCGGCCACAUUGGGACUGAGAUACGGCCCAGACUCCUACGGGAGGCAGCAGUGGGGAAUAUUGCACAAUGGGCGGAAGCCUGAUGCAGCAACGCCGCGUGCGGGAUGACGGCCUUCGGGUUGUAAACCGCUUUCGCCUGUGACGAAGCGUGAGUGACGGUAAUGGGUAAAGAAGCACCGGCUAACUACGU